AUGGACUGGAUAGGUCCUUGUUACCACCUCUUGGCUCAUACCACCCUCACCCUGGCAGCGGUGCAAGAUGGGUUCCGCACCCAUGACCUCACCCUCGCCAGCCAUGCGGAGAACCCCGCCUGGCUGCCCCUUUAUGGUAGCGUGUGUUGCUGCCUGGUGGCUCAGCCUGUCUGCAUGAUUCAGCCUACUGCAAGUGGGCCCCUCAGGGUGCAGGGGGACAUCGUGCCUGGACGGCUCACUGAGGCAGAGGCAGUGGGUCUCAAGGCUCUCAAGGAGGGUGAGGAGGUGGUGGGUAAAAUCAUGGACGAGCUGAUAGACCGAGUGAUGGAUGCCACCUACAAAUCCUACCUGGAACAGCAGUGCAUUCCGUACGCAGUGAACAGGGCACGGGAGACCAUACUCCAAAUGGUCCAGAUGAGAUUUGUGCCCCAGGAUGAGGGAGAACCCCACCUAGCAGAGGACCCCACGUGGGCGGAGGACAAGAAACCCUCACCUUGCCUGAUUGACACCUGGGCUCCGGGAGCCGUGCCCGUGCGGUGCGCGCCCUACCUGGUGGGGCUGAAGAAGAGCCAAGGCAAAGACCAAGGGAGCAUGGAUCAGCUCCCUUUAGGAAGAUCUUGGAUGGAUACAGACUCUGAGGAGCGAAUGGAAUCUUGGGAGCAUUCUCAGGAGCUGAGAGUCACCCUGGGAACCCCACCCACCCCGAAGCAGUUGCAGGAGACAGCCUCGGGGUCCUUUAGAGGAACCAGACGUCCAGGCGAGGGGCCACCUAUCCUCCAUCACAUCCUUGAGAUCGAGUAGCCCACCGGCAGAGGAGGUGGCGCCUGCCACCAGUCCUCACCCUUCGCUGCAGUUGUCUCUGGGAGCCAGCCCCCAGGCCUCAGUCGAGAGGGCACAGCCCCUCAGCUCCCAGUUCUCCCUCAGAUCUCUACUAUUACACACCCAAGCCUCAUGUGGCUGGAGACUGGCCGGAGCCCAAGAACGAGGAGGUGCUCCGAAUCGCCCCGUGUGUGUUGGUGUCAGGCCCCUCUGCAGAUGGCGCCACAGCGCUCAGCCCCUAGCCGGGUUCCUGCCGCAGCAGCCCUGGUGCGCGGACCCGCGGCUCGGUGCACCGCCGCGCAGAAUGGGCCGCAAGCCCGCGAUGGCGCUCCUGGACCCCGCGCGCCUCCGGUGACGCUGGGUGCGCUAGCUUGCGGAGGUUCUGGUUCCACAGGCCGCGGCGCGCCCCCUAGAAGCCUACCGCAGGCGCCAGCGGGGCGAGAAGAGCGGGGCGAGAAGACCGAGGCUCCAGCCGGACCGCCAGCCCCCACUCAGUCCCACAGGAGGCACCUCGAGUCCAGUGCAUGCCAAUAG